rnacentral:rRNA from 1 species
CCUACGGGCGGCAGCAGUGGGGAAUAUUGGACAAUGGGGGGAACCCUGAUCCAGCCAUGCCGCGUGUGUGAAGAAGGCCCUCGGGUUGUAAAGCACUUUCAGUGAGGAAGAACGCCUGGUGGUUAAUACCCAUCAGGAAAGACAUCACUCACAGAAGAAGCACCGGCUAACUCCGUGCCAGCAGCCGCGGUAAUACGGAGGGUGCGAGUGUUAAUCGGAAUUACUGGGCGUAAAGCGCGCGUAGGUGGCUUGAUAAGCCGGUUGUGAAAGCCCCGGGCUCAACCUGGGAACGGCAUCCGGAACUGUCAAGCUAGAGUGCAGGAGAGGAAGGUAGAAUUCCCGGUGUAGCGGUGAAAUGCGUAGAGAUCGGGAGGAAUACCAGUGGCGAAGGCGGCCUUCUGGACUGACACUGACACUGAGGUGCGAAAGCGUGGGUAGCAAACAGGAUUAGAUACCCUAGUAGUC